UGCAGUCGAACGAACUCUGGUAUUGAUUGGUGCUUGCAUCAUGAUUUACAUUUGAGUGAGUGGCGAACUGGUGAGUAACACGUGGGAAACCUGCCCAGAAGCGGGGGAUAACACCUGGAAACAGAUGCUAAUACCGCAUAACAACUUGGACCGCAUGGUCCGAGUUUGAAAGAUGGCUUCGGCUAUCACUUUUGGAUGGUCCCGCGGCGUAUUAGCUAGAUGGUGGGGUAACGGCUCACCAUGGCAAUGAUACGUAGCCGACCUGAGAGGGUAAUCGGCCACAUUGGGACUGAGACACGGCCCAAACUCCUACGGGAGGCAGCAGUAGGGAAUCUUCCACAAUGGACGAAAGUCUGAUGGAGCAACGCCGCGUGAGUGAAGAAGGGUUUCGGCUCGUAAAACUCUGUUGUUAAAGAAGAACAUAUCUGAGAGUAACUGUUCAGGUAUUGACGGUAUUUAACCAGAAAGCCACGGCUAACUACGUGCCAGCAGCCGCGGUAAUACGUAGGUGGCAAGCGUUGUCCGGAUUUAUUGGGCGUAAAGCGAGCGCAGGCGGUUUUUUAAGUCUGAUGUGAAAGCCUUCGGCUCAACCGAAGAAGUGCAUCGGAAACUGGGAAACUUGAGUGCAGAAGAGGACAGUGGAACUCCAUGUGUAGCGGUGAAAUGCGUAGAUAUAUGGAAGAACACCAGUGGCGAAGGCGGCUGUCUGGUCUGUAACUGACGCUGAGGCUCGAAAGUAUGGGUAGCAAACAGGAUUAGAUACCCUGGUAGUCCAUACCGUAACGAUGAAUGCUAAGUGUUGGAGGGUUUCCGCCCUUCAGUGCUGCAGC
rnacentral:rRNA from 2 species